rnacentral:tRNA from 1 species
AAGGAUAUUGCUGAGUGACAUGAGUGCCUGCCUGACAAGCACAAAGUCCUGAGUUUGAUUCUCAGUAUCAUAA